CUGGCGGUGCGCCUUAUGCAUGCAAGUCGAGCGAAGCUUUUCAGUAGUUUACUACAGAAAAUGACUGAGCGGCGAACGGGUGAGUAACGCGUGAGCAAUCUACCUUAGUUACUGGGAUAGCCCGAGGAAACUCGGAUUAAUACCGGAUAAUCUUAUUACAUCACAUGAUAUUUUAAGUAAAGGUCAGCCGAACUAAGAUGAGCUCGCGUUCUAUCAGCUUGUUGGUGGGGUAAAAGCCUACCAAGGCUACGACGGAUAGCUGGUCUGAGAGGACGAUCAGCCACACUGGGACUGAGACACGGCCCAGACUCCUACGGGAGGCUGCAGCAGGGAAUAUUGCGCAAUGAGCGAAAGCUUGACGCAGCGACACCGCGUGUGGGAUGACGGUUCUAGGAUUGUAAACCACUUUCAGGAGGGAAGAAAAUGACGGUACCUCCACAAGAAGCCCCGGCCAACUACGUGCCAGCAGCCGCGGUAAUACGUAGGGGGCGAGCGUUGUCCGGAUUUAUUGGGCGUAAAGAGCUCGUAGGCGGUUCAACAAGUCGGUCGUGAAAGUUCAGGGCUUAACCCUGAAAUGUCGAUCGAUACUGUUGUGACUAGGAUAUGGUAGAGGUGAGUGGAAUUCCGAGUGUAGCGGUGAAAUGCGUAGAUAUUCGGAGGAACACCAAUAGCGAAGGCAGCUCACUGGACCACUAUCGACGCUGAGGAGCGAAAGCUAGGGGAGCAAACAGGAUUAGAUACCCUGGUAGUCCUAGCUGUAAACGAUGGAUACUAGAUGUAGGAAUUGGAUUGACGAUUUCUGUAUCGUAGCUAACGCGUUAAGUAUCCCGCCUGGGGAGUACGGU
rnacentral:rRNA from 1 species